rnacentral:rRNA from 1 species
GCCUCCUAAAGAGUAACGGAGGCGCUCAAAGGUUCCCUCAGAAUGGUUGGAAAUCAUUCAUAGAGUGUAAAGGCAUAAGGGAGCUUGACUGCGAGACCUACAAGUCGAGCAGGGUCGAAAGACGGACUUAGUGAUCCGGUGGUUCCGCAUGGAAGGGCCAUCGCUCAACGGAUAAAAGCUACCCCGGGGAUAACAGGCUUAUCUCCCCCAAGAGUUCACAUCGACGGGGAGGUUUGGCACCUCGAUGUCGGCUCAUCGCAUCCUGGGGCUGUAGUCGGUCCCAAGGGUUGGGCUGUUCGCCCAUUAAAGCGGUACGCGAGCUGGGUUCAGAACGUCGUGAGACAGUUCGGUCCCUAUCCGUCGUGGGCGUAGGAAAUUUGAGAGGAGCUGUCCUUAGUACGAGAGGACCGGGAUGGACAUACCUCUGGUGUACCAGUUGUCGUGCCAACGGCAUAGCUGGGUAGCUAUGUAUGGACGGGAUAAGUGCUGAAAGCAUCUAAGCAUGAAGCCCCCCUCGAGAUGAGAUUUCCCAACUUCGGUUAUAAG